rnacentral:rRNA from 1 species
CCCUUAGAUGUUCUGGGCCGCACGCGCGCUACACUGAUGCAUUCAACGAGUCUAAAACCUGCUCUGAUAGGGGUGGGUAAUCUUUUGAAUGUGCAUCGUGAUUGGGAUAGAUGAUUGCAAUUUUUCAUCUUCAACGAGGAAUGCCUAGUAAACGCAAGUCAUCAGCUUGCAUUGAUUACGUCCCUGCCCUUUGUACACACCGCCCGUCGCUCCUACCGAUUGAGUGGUCCGGUGAGGCUUUGGGAUCUGAGCGGAAAGAGCGUUUCGCUGUUUCUGCUCGGAAAACUCAGUCGAACCUUAUCAUUUAGAGGAAGGAGAAGUCGUAACA